GAAAGUAAACAAGGGCGCAUGGAGGAUGCCUAGGCUCUCGGAGGCGAAGAAGGACGUGAUAAGCUGCGAAAAGUUACGGUAAGGCGCAAAUAGCCCUAGACCCGUAAAUAUCCGAAUGGGGCAACCCGGCCAGCAAUGGUCAUACCGCCAAGCGGUAAGCCAACGCGGGGAACUGAAACAUCUAAGUACCCGCAGGAAAAGAAAAUAACAAUGAUUCCGCCAGUAGUGGCGAGCGAACGCGGAACAGCCCAAACCACUCGUGUUACGGCACGAGUGGGGUAGAAGGAUCCACGAUACGGCAAGAAAUAAGUUAGCAGAAUACGAUGGAAAUCGUAGCCAAAGACGGUGACAGCCCAGUACGCGAAAACCGACAGAAGCCCAGUGGACACCUGAGUAACCCAGGACACGAGAAAUCCGGGGCGAAUCAGCGGGGCCCAUCCCGUAAGGCUAAAUACUCCCGAGAGACCGAUAGCGAACCAGUACUGUGAAGGAAAGGUGAAAAGAACCUCGAACAGAGGAGUGAAACAGACCCUGAAACCAUGCGCCUACAAGCGGUCGGAGCAUGUUAAAAUGUGACGGCGUGCCUUUUGCAUAAUGAACCUACGAGUUACUCUCGCUGGCAAGGUUAAGCGAUUCAGUCGCGCAGCCGAAGCGAAAGCAAGUCCGAACAAGGCGUACAGUCAGCGGGAGUAGACGCGAAACCAAGUGAUCUACCCUUGGUCAGGUUGAAGGUUGGGUAACACCAACUGGAGGACCGCACCGAUAAGCGUUGAAAAGCUUACGGAUGAACUGAGGGUAGGAGUGAAAGGCCAAUCAAACUUGGAGAUAGCUCGUACUCCCCGAAAUGCAUUUAGGUGCAGCCUCGAAGUAAAGUGAUAGAGGUAGAGCGACUGAUAAGAUGCGAGGGCUUCACCGCCUAUCAAGUCUUGACAAACUCCGAAUACUAUCACUUGAUCUUUGGGAGUGAGGGCAUGGGUGCUAAGGUCCAUGUCCGAAAGAGGAACAACUCAGACCACCAGCUAAGGUCCCGAAAUAAGGGCUAAGUUGAAUAAACGAAGUAAAACUGCAAAGACAGCUAGGAUGUUGGCUUGGAAGCAGCCAUUCAUUUAAAGAGUGCGUAACAGCUCACUAGUCGAGGAGUUUUGCAUGGAUAAUAAUCGGGCAUAAGCCCUUUACCGAAGCUGUGGAUGUCGUAAGACAUGGUAGGGGAGCAUUCCGGCGGCGACGAAGGCCGUCCUCGAGGACGACUGGAGCUUUCGGAAAAGCAAAUGUAGGUAUAAGUAACGAUAAAGGGGGCGUGAAACCCCCUCGCCAUAAGACUAAGGAUUCCUGAUCAACGCUAAUCGGAUCAGGGUAAGUCGGGCCCUAAGGCGCAGCCGAACGGCGUAGCCGAUGGAAGAAACGGUAAAGAUUCCGUUACUGGAUAUAGGAGCGAUGUGGAGACGGAGAAGUGACACACCCGCCUGCCGACGGAAGCGCAGGUUAAAGGAAGUAGGUAAACGCCGGGUAGGCAAAUCCGCCUGGCGUGCCGAAACUGACAGUAUCGAGAGCCCCCGGGCAAUCGAAUAGCGGUGGUAAUCAGGCUCCCAAGAAAAUCCGCUAAGCAUAUUCUAUAUCCACCCGUACCCCAAACGGACACACGUAGUCGGGUAGAAUAUACCAAGGCGCUCGAAAGACUCACGGUUAAGGAACUAGGCAAAUUGACCCUGUAACCUCGGGAAAAAGGGUCCCCAGUAAGAUGGGGCGCAGAGAAUAGGUCCAGGCAACUGUUUAACAAAAACACAGGGCUGUGCGAAAUUUCAAGAUGAAGUAUACAGCCUGACACCUGCCCGGUGCCGGAAGGUUAAGAGGAGAGCUAAUCGCAAGAGAAGGCUUGAAUUGAAGCCCCGGUAAACGGCGGCCGUAACUAUAACGGUCCUAAGGUAGCGAAAUUCCUUGUCGGGUAAGUUCCGACCUGCACGAAUGGUGUAAUGAUCUGGACACUGUCUCAACCG
rnacentral:rRNA from 1 species